rnacentral:rRNA from 1 species
CCGACUGCUAUCGGGGUGGGACUAAGCCAUGCAAGUUUGCGCUCCGAGCUAUGGCGGAGCGCGGCGGACGGCUCAGUAACACGUGGCUAACCUACCCUCAGGACGGGGAUAACCCCGGGAAACUGGGGCUAACCCUCGAUAGGAGCAGACACCUGGAAUGGGUCUGCUCCGAAAGGGAUACAGUACCAUGCUUACUGUAUCCGCCUGAGGAUGGGGCUGCGGCCUAUCAGGUAGUUGGCGGGGUAACGGCCCGCCAAGCCGAUAACGGGUAGGGGCUUGUGAGAGCAGGAGCCCCGAGAUGGGCACUUGAGACAAGGGCCCAGGCCCUACGGGGCGCAGCAGGCGCGAAACCUCCGCAAUGCGGGUAACCGUGACGGGGUCACCCCGAGUGCCAUCCGAAGAGGAUGGCUUUUCUCCGGUCUAAAAAGCCGGGGGAAUAAGCGGGGGGCAAGACUGGUGUCAGCCGCCGCGGUAAUACCAGCCCCGCGAGUGGUCGGGACGAUUAUUGGGCCUAAAGCGUCCGUAGCCGGCCCGGCAAGUCCCUCUUUAAAACUCACGGCUCAACCGUGAGAACGGAGGGAUACUGCCGGGCUAGGGGGCGGUAGAGGCCGGGGGUACUUCCGGGGUAGGGGCGAAAUCCUGUAAUCCCGGAAGGACCGCCAGUGGCGAAGGCGCCCGGCUGGAACGCGCCCGACGGUGAGGGACGAAAGCUGGGGGAGCAAAGGGGAUUAGAUACCCCCGUAGUCCCAGCUGUAAACGAUGCGGGCUAGGUGUUGGGUGGACUUUGAGUUCACCCAGUGCCGCAGGGAAGCCGUUAAGCCCGCCGCCUGGGGAGUACGGCCGCAAGGCUGAAACUUAAAGGAAUUGGCGGGGGAGCACCACAAGGCGUGAAGCUUGCGGUUUAAUUGGAGUCAACGCCGGAAACCUUACCGGGGGCGACAGCAGGAUGAAGGCCAGGCUACAGGCCUUGCCAGACAAGCUGAGAGGAGGUGCAUGGCCGUCGCCGGCUCGUGCCGUGAGGUGUCCGGUUAAGUCCGGCAACGAGCGAGACCCCCGCCCUUAGUUGCUAUCUAUCCCCUACGGGGGAUAGAGCACUCUAAGGGGACUGCCGGCGUUAAGCCGGA